AUUGAACGCUGGCGGCAUGCUUUACACAUGCAAGUCGAACGAGUGGCGGACGGGUGAGUAAUGCUUGGGAAUCUGGCUAAUGGAGGGGGAUAACUACGGGAAACUGUAGCUAAUACCGCGUACCAUAGGAGGAGCCCAAGUGGGAUUAGGUAGUUGGGGAGGUAAAGGCUCACCAAGCCGACGAUCUGUAGCUGGUCUGCGAGGAUGACCGGCCACACGGGGACUGAGACACGGCCCAGACUCCUACGGGAGGCAGCAGUGGGGAAUUUUGCGCAAGGGGGGAAACCUGACGCAGCCAUGCCGCGUGAAUGAAGAAGGCCUUCGGGUUGUAAAGUUCUUUCGGUAGAGAGGCGUUAACUACAGAAUAAGCACCGGCUAACUCCGUGCCAGCAGCCGCGGUAAUAC
rnacentral:rRNA from 1 species